rnacentral:rRNA from 1 species
UACAGAGGUGGCAAGCGUUGUUCGGAAUUACUGGGCGUAAAGGGCGCGUAGGCGGUCUUCUAAGUCUUGUGUGAAAUCCCUCGGCUCAACUGAGGAACUGCACGGGAUACUGGAAGACUUGAGUUCGGGAGAGGGAAGCGGAAUUCCGGGUGUAGCGGUGAAAUGCGUAGAGAUGUGGAGGAACACCGAUGGCGAAGGCAGCCCCCUGGGCUAACACUGACGCUCAUGCACGAAAGCGUGGGGAGCAAACAGG